GUUCCCAACUGGCUCUGUUGUCUUGUCUUGAAGGAGCACUGCCCAGGAACCACUGUUUCACAAAAGGGCACUGUGAGAAGCUCUGGUAUAAAGUAUAUACUCUGACCUGGAGUGGAAAAUUAUCUACGUGGGCUCUGCAGAAAGUGAAGAGUACGAUCAAGUUUUAGACUCUGUCUUGGUGGGCCCUGUUCCUGCAGGAAGGCAUAUGUUUGUAUUUCAGGCUGAUGCACCUACCCAGGACUCAUUCCAGAUGCAGACGCAGUAGGUGUAACAGUUGUGCUA